GGAAGGAGGAGGCAGCCAGAGUGGCCACCACUGGUCUCUGCAGCAGAAGACCCCUUGCUGCCAGCAGAACCUAUUCAUAUUCUUCUGAAAAUAAUGAAAGAAGGGUGGGAGCUGUGAAAAGGAAGCAUCUUGGCAAGGGUAAGAGAAAUAAUUAUCCUUUAAAAGUGUAUUAUUAAUCUAUAAUAUCUUGAGGAAUAACAGUUUGUGUUAUUCUUGGUUACAGCCGUGCAGCCAAAGGACAACCUCCCUUUAAAAAAAACCCCAAAAACCAAGGCUGUGAGGAAUCUGGUAAUUAAACUCUGUAUUUAACUAGGCAAUAGAACCCUGAUGCCUUUGGAAACACACUUAACACAGAGCAAUACCAAAGUUGUGAGUUUAAUUAGACAAUAGCACUGUAAUCAGGUGCUCUAACCCCUGGACCUUAGGGCUCCAGUCUGUGGCCUCCAAAGUCCACGAGGCCUCCAAAUGGCUGGGGGGGCCCUCCAGCAGCCACCCCAUGCCCACCCGGCCGCGCCCAACCUCUGCUUUGUUUUUAUUUCAACUGCCUCGUGGCGAAGGGGUGGCUGCCGAGAGGUGGCUGCUGGCAAGGUGAGCCCAGCUGUCUUUCUCCCUCCCCCGGUGGCGGUGGCCAGAGUGAUGCUGAGCCUCUACGUUUGGCCCAGCAUCUCUUUCUACCUGUGAGGUGCAGUUGGAGAGAGCAUUGCAAGCCCAUGAUGGGGGAGGGGGAACCUCUGGGGGACCCCCCCAUGGCCUUGGAGAAGCCCCCCGGAGGGGGUAAAUUGAUUAAAAAAUGGUUUUUUUAAAAAAAAAAUAUUCAUGAACCCUCCCUCUGAACCAAAGUGGGGGCGAGGGGGUUGAGGGGGUCCAAAACUGAACUCGCCUGGUCUGGUUCAAGUCUGGUUUGGACUUGAACCAAACCGGGUCAGCUGGUUUUGUGCACACCCCUACUGUAAUGCAAUUGGUAGCAUACUUCACAAAAAGUUGUGAGUUUGUGCCUCACCUGGUAAAUUAGUUAGAAUUACAACAACAGUCCUAUGAGGUGUCCUGUAUUACAGUUUUCUAACUCCAGUGUGUUCUUGGUUUUAGAACGAGUUUUAAUGCAGGUGAAACAAAUCCAGGCCUUCUGCAACCGUGUUUCAAUGUUAACAUGAUGAUCAGCUGUGCAGACCAACUCAGGGCAGAUGCAGAAGGCCUUGGCUCUUUGAGCUUUCGUAAAGCAGAAAUACAAAACAGCAGCCAUGCACUGCCUCAGCACUAUCGAUGAGCACAGGGUGCACAUAAAUGGAGCCAUUGCCAGAGGUAUAGGAAAUCCUGACCUGGCUGGACUCUGUAGUGAUGUGACAUGUACUACAUAGUGGGAAGAGGGUUCCACCAGCCUUUGAUGCGCAAGCAGUUUCUGAUGCUGAGCCUACAAAGCUGUCUCAAACAAACCCAUUUGCUUUUUUGUAAAAUAGUAUUUUUAUCAUUUUAUCCAUCAUAUAAACAGAAAAGCAUAAGAAAAAUAGGAAUAACAAAAGAAAAAAAGUAAAAAGUAAAAACAAGACGUGAUCAAACAAUACAAAUACAAGGAUUCUCGUUACAGUCUGUUUACUUCCACCUUAGUUCUUUACACCAUCAUCUCUCUCUCCCCUUCUCCAAUCUAAAGGAUAAAUGGCUGCAAAUUUAAAAACAUUAACAGUAAGGUCAACAAUUAGUGUACCUUUCAACAUUAAAUUUCUCUACAAAAAGAAACCAAAUCUCAGGUGAGGAACCAAACCCUGUGAUAUAUUAUAUUGAAUAAAUUGUUCCCAUGUCUGAGAAAAAGAAUCUUCAGAUUUGUUCUUAAUAUAUGCGGUAAUUUUGGCCAUUGAUGCAUAAUCCCACAGUUUAAGAUACCAAUUGUCUAGAGACGGAAUCAGAUUUGUUUUCCAGAAAGAAGCAUAGAGGAUUCUUGCCACCCUUAUCAUAUAUAAAGAAAGUUCAGUGUAUCUUGCUGAAAUAUAUGGUUUAGUGAAAUUUAACAUAAAACUCUCUGGCGGGAAAGGAAAAUCUAUAUGCAAGAUUUGCUGCAUCUUCAAAUGUAUUCUUUUCCAAAAAAUUUGUGCUUUUUAACAUGUCCACCACAUAUGAUAAAAAGUAUCUUUCUGUUCUUUACAUUUCCCCAGAGUAUUCAUCUUUGAAAUCUCUGCUGGGGUAAUAUACCAAUGAAGGUACAUUUUAUACCAGUUUCCCCUCAAGGUACUAUUCACUGUAAAUUUUAUGUUCACCUUCCAUUGAAAUUCCCACAGUUGCAUCUCUAUUGUUUUAUUAAAAUUCUGCAUUCAUUUUAUCAUACAGACUUUCACUGCUUCUGAUUCCAAGUCGUAUUUCAGUAGUAAUUUGUAUAAGACCCAACAAAUGCUCUGAGUUCUUUGUUAUUAGAGUUUCAAAUUCUGUCAAGUCUCUCAGUUUUCCACUUUGCUUCCAUACUUCUUCUUGAAUUAUACUGUUAAUCUGUGAAUACAAUAGCCAGGAAGGAUGUUCAUCCCACUCUUGAUUUAAAGAUUGAAUGGAUUUAAUUUCUGAUCUUCCUAUCAUAAGACUUUGCACAUUGUAUGCUCUGCAUUGAUCAAAUUGUUUUGCAUGUUCUUCUCCACAGAAAUACAUAUUCAAGAUAGAGGCUAUAGGUGACAAUGCUGGACUUAUCCUUUUUUAUACUUGACCCAAACCUUUAAUAGGCUGUGCCUAAUUGAAUGAUUUUUGAUUUCUACAUCCACUUUCUUUACCUCUGUCCACAAAUAUCUGUGUAGGCCAUUAGUCAUGUCUGAUCCUUCCAUAUUUGUAACCCAUCCAUAUGGAGCUUUGUUCCACUCUGCAAUCCAUGUUAAACAACUGGCAUGGUAAUACAGCUUCAAGUUUGGGGUGGCUAAUCCUCCACAUUCUUUUGCGUCUUGCAUAAUCUUAAUUCCCCCCCCCAUUUUUUCCAUUUCCAUUUCCCCCAAAAAAUAAUUUUAUGCAGUUGAGUAAGAAUUGUUCUAUAUUUCCAUCUUAUAUGCUGUAUCUUUUCCUUGCUUCCCUUAUUCAUUCUCACACCAAAUACAUGUUUAUAUUUGCCCCUCCCCGUAUUGACUAAUACAGCCAAUAAUAAAAUCCCAAGCAAUAUAAACAACCACAUGAUAGCAGUAAUCAAAAAAUAAUUCUAUGCAACUAAAUAAGAGCUAGUUUGUAUUUCCCACAGCUAUAUUAUUUCUUUGCUUGUAUCUUGUAUACCCGCUAAUUAAUGGUUGAGAAAGGGGGGAAAGGCAAUAUUUCCUUUUCACUGACCUCAACUGAUAUAAUUAAACCAACUUUUGAGAGAAAGAGCAAACUACACUUCCAUUCAAUAAAACUGGAGAGUUCUCUGACAAUCCACAAGGUCUUUUCAAAUCUUCUUAAAGUCUUCUUCUGCCUCUUCUUCAACUAUUCCAUUAUAUAAUUAAUUGGCAUUAAUCAUUCACUUAGUUAGUUAAAACUUUAUAAUCCACGCAAAGGCCUUGAUAAGUUUAUAAUCCUUAGUGUUUGUUAUCCAAGUAGUCAGUCCAAUAACUUUCUUAAAGAGGAAUAUAUGUUCCCAUUAACUUAUUUGUCUCAUUUCAUGUUUAAUUGUAAUCUUAGUAUGGAUAUUCCAAAUAUAAUCCUGCAUCUCCUCCCUGUUGGGGACACCCUGACCCCAACAUUAAACCUAGAGUUACCAACCCAGAAUUAUAUGGAAUCCAGGCCUGUGUCUGAUUCCAUUUUAUUAAGGAAUAAAUUAAUGCCUGAAUUCAGAUGCACUGAUCAGAGCAUGACACCCUGGUCUCAUGAUUGCCUCUGCUAAUUGCUCUGUGACGGACCAGGCAAUCCAACACUGUAUUUUCAAUGUUUGUGAAAUAGGUACUCAAAAGAGAUACAAUGGCUAAGCUUGGUCUUCUAUCCAAAUGCUAACAUUUAACUUGCUAUCAGAUAAUGUAUCUGGGAAGGUAGGAGCUGAGCUUGCAUUUCCUCUUACAGCAAUGCUCACAGCAAUCAUGGAUUAUUGCUCUGCUCUGCCUAAAGGGGAUAAUCCUCAAUCUCUCUGAGAGUCAUUCACUAUGUAGAAUUAGAAGUAUUGUUACACCCAAUCGCUGUCUUUAGAAAUUCCACCCUAGGUAGAUGCACACAAAGAAAACACCUAUAGCUGUGAUUCUUCUUUGCUAACACCUUUUAACACUCUUGGGGGACCAGGUGCCAGAAAUCUGGGGACAAGAAAAGAUGCUCAUUUGCAGCUCAGAGAUGCAGAUUUGCUUUGGGCAAAUCUCAAUAGAACAAUCUCCUCCCCGAAAACAGGAGAUGGAACUCACCCUGGACUGAGCUAAUAUCCUAAUUACUAUUAAUAAUUAAAAGACACUAUCCAGAGGGUAACAGCAAAUUGUCACCUUUUGGGGAUCCAGGAAGGAUGAGGAUAUUUUGAAUAGACUCUAUGGAUAUCAAAGGAAGAAACAACUAUAAAGAAUGGAGCUCACUGAACAGAGAGCUAGCAAUCUUUGCCUAACAAGCAAUAUUUGCUCAUGUGCGUAUCCCAAGUGCUUGCUGUCUAGCUGCGUAGUAGCACAAGCAUGGAACCUGCAGACAAGAGACUGCUCAGUGAUUCUUGCCACGGGAUGAAGAACCAAGGGCUGACUCUGCUGUGAAAUCCAGCACAAGCUCCUUGCACCUGAAGCCUGCAUCACUCUCAAGCUCCAGCAAUGAACAAGUCCUUUGAAGCCUUCUUCAUGAACCUGGUGAGAUGCCUAUUCAACGCACAGUGCAGCCUCCUCCCCGCUUCCCUCCUCCCUACUAAUCACUGCCCUCCCUUUCCUAAGACCUCCCUUCUUUCUUCUUUCUCUGCUUCUCUCUAAAUGUUUUAUUAGGAUUUGUUAGAUAGCUGUAAUUACUGACUGCACACACAUAGGUUAGCUACACAUUGCACUACACCUUGAAUCAGAAACAUGUUUUUAAUUUGGAUGACCUGUUUGAAUUUCAUCCUGAUGAGCAACUUUCUAUAAUAAAGCCCAUUGAACUUUC